UAAGCUCUGAAGUCAAGGAAGGCACCUGGAGCACAAGCAAAGUGCUCAGGUUUCAAAUGCUGUGGUGGAUUAACAAAUCAGGCAAGUUCCACCCCCAUACCACAAUCACAAUUAAAACACAUUUCAUAAAUUAUAAAUUGGGUUACCUAUAUAGACAUUUCAACCGCAUUGAGUUAAAUUGGCUUCCUCUAAAAUAAGAACUGAGACUGGAUUUAUCAAUUUUUAUUUACCUCAUGUCAUUGGAAAAAAAUGCCUUGCAGAAGUAGAUAUAACUCAAUCUAAAAAGGUACAUAUUUUAUAUAUUAAUAAUGCGCAACAAAUUGAUCUGAUUUUUAGUGAUUUCCCAAUUUAAGUUCUUGAUAGCAGAAUUGAAUUUCAUCUUGCAAUUGAUGUAGUUUGGACGUUCUCUCGAGGCUUGUGCGAAAAUUUCAUCCUGCGAUUCAUGUUGUUAUAACAGAUAUUGCUAAGCUGACUUAGGCAGUGCACAUGCUGAAUGGCUGGUUACUAAACAUGCAAGCUAAACGUCAAUAUCCUUCAUGUCAAGAAGGUCCUCUGUCCUCGAAAUCAGAGGUUUACCACCAUCAAUAUUCCAAAAGAAAGAGUACAAAACACUUGGGGAACAACACCAAACUCAAGGCAAACAAUUAAGGAAACCUGUAAGAAGGGAACCCCAUUCUGUACCUAAGAAGCUCCUAUGAUAUAAAGGAGGGUGGGGAGUCCCAUUAAGUAAAUCCAAAAUUUUGUGCACCAAAAGAGGCAAGUUUGUUUGCACCAGAGAGUUGAUUUUCUUAUAUUCAACAAAAUAAUUAUUGCCUUUUGAUGACCUGUACUUUCUUUUUCACUUUUAAUGCUUCAAUUGAUGCUUGCAGGAAGCUCGAAGGUGUUUUUGGGAAAGCUUCCUUGUUCAUGAUAAUAAAAAAAAACAUAAAAAGCUAUCAGUCACCUUCCUAACACUUUAAGUGGUUAUAAAUUCUUCCAAAUGCUUAUUUAAUUUUGGGAAAUUUUUUUUUUUAUUGUUUAGUUAAGAUCAACAGUUUAAUUGGUAUGCCUGGCUUAACUAUAUUGUAACACACACCUUUCCAUUUCCAGGUUAGGUUUGCAAGGAGGGUAGGUUCUUUCUUGGAAAACAGAGUGUGGGACACAAAUUAUGGGGUUAGCCCUCGGAAGAGUGAUGCCAGACUUUUCUUCCAUGUCCACCUUGCCAUUGCCACCAACAAGCUUCCAUUGGAAACAUUGAAUAAUUAUAGCCAGAUUCACAGG